rnacentral:rRNA from 1 species
CCUACGGGUGGCAGCAGUAGGGAAUCUUUCACAAUGGGCGAAAGCCUGAUGGAGCAACGCCGCGUGCAGGAUGAAGGCCUUCGGGUUGUAAACUGCUUUUAUAAGCGAGGAGUAUGAUGGUAACUUAUGAAUAUGAAUCGGCGAAAACCGUGGCAGCAGCCGCGGGCAUACGUAGGAUUCGAGAAUUUUCCGGAGUUACUGGGUGUAAAAAGUUGCGUAGGUGGGGUUAUAAGUAGCUAGUGGAAUCUGUUGGCUCAACCAUUCAGACUAUUAGCUAAACUGUUAAUCUCGAGACCGUUAGGGGUAACUGGAAUUUCUAGUGUAGGAGUGAAAUCCGUAGAUAUUAGAAGGAACACCAAUAGCGUAGGCAGGUUACUGGGACAGUUCUGACACUAAGGCACGAAAGCGUAGGGAGCAAACGGGAUUAGAUACCCCUGUAGUC